UCCCUGGUGGUCCAGUGGUCAAAACCUGGCACUUUCACUGCCAAGGGUCCAGGUUCAAUCCCUGGAUGGGGGC
rnacentral:tRNA from 1 species